UCCUGCGCGUCCUGCGAGGUGUCUUGCAGGCCGUCAUGCAGGCCACACUGACGGUAACGUUGCAGGUCGUCUUGCAGGGCGUCUCGCAAGACGACAUCCUCGUCGCCAACGACG
ensembl:miRNA MIR431 microRNA 431